rnacentral:lncRNA from 1 species
CCGCCCCUCUUUAAGACGACCAUGGAACCUUUGGUGUCCGGGCUCUCAGCAAGGCUGUGGCACCCGUCCGAUGGCGAUCCCAACACCAGGUCACCUGCGCAGCUCACGAGAGUCUUACUAUCUCUGGGUCCAGAUAAAUCUGCAAUGUGUUCAGGACAAUAUGUGACACACAGCCCCUAUACUGGUCCGAGUCAUUCAAGCUGGAAGUUGCACGUGGAAAGGCAGAAGCAACAGCUUAGUAGACAGACCAGGUUUGCACUGCAUAUUAUUUGCAAGCCGCACUGGCACAAUAUGCAAAACAAGCCAGGUCUCUCCACCAAGCAGUCCAGUCAGCACUCACCACAUGCAUGCUGAGUGACGUGGCAGGUCUACAAUCGCAUUGUAGACCUGACACGUCUAAAAAAACAAAUUGCCUUUGGCAGCUCACCUGACACGAUACAGCCUCCCUCCAUGCCGCCUUCACAGCUGCUGUCCAGCGCUGGUCCAAAUGAGGCGCCAGCCCCUGCCAGAGAAAACUUAAAGUCUUUCCCAUCC